GAACGCUAGCUACAGGCUUAACACAUGCAAGUCGAGGGGCAUCAGGAAGAAAGCUUGCUUUCUUUGCUGGCGACCGGCGCACGGGUGAGUAACACGUAUCCAACCUGCCCUUUACUCGGGGAUAGCCUUUCGAAAGAAAGAUUAAUACCCGAUGGCAUAAUGAUUCCGCAUGGUUUCAUUAUUAAAGGAUUCCGGUAAAGGAUGGGGAUGCGUUCCAUUAGGUUGUUGGUGAGGUAACGGCUCACCAAGCCUUCGAUGGAUAGGGGUUCUGAGAGGAAGGUCCCCCACAUUGGAACUGAGACACGGUCCAAACUCCUACGGGAGGCAGCAGUGAGGAAUAUUGGUCAAUGGGCGCUAGCCUGAACCAGCCAAGUAGCGUGAAGGAUGAAGGCUCUAUGGGUCGUAAACUUCUUUUAUAUAAGAAUAAAGUGCAGUAUGUAUACUGUUUUGUAUGUAUUAUAUGAAUAAGGAUCGGCUAACUCCGUGCCAGCAGCCGCGGUAAUACGGAGGAUCCGAGCGUUAUCCGGAUUUAUUGGGUUUAAAGGGAGCGUAGGUGGACUGGUAAGUCAGUUGUGAAAGUUUGCGGCUCAACCGUAAAAUUGCAGUUGAUACUGUCAGUCUUGAGUACAGUAGAGGUGGGCGGAAUUCGUGGUGUAGCGGUGAAAUGCUUAGAUAUCACGAAGAACUCCGAUUGCGAAGGCAGCUCACUGGACUGCAACUGACACUGAUGCUCGAAAGUGUGGGUAUCAAACAGGAUUAGAUACCCUGGUAGUCCACACAGUAAACGAUGAAUACUCGCUGUUUGCGAUAUACAGUAAGCGGCCAAGCGAAAGCAUUAAGUAUUCCACCUGGGGAGUACGCCGGCAACGGUGAAACUCAAAGGAAUUGACGGGGGCCCGCACAAGCGGAGGAACAUGUGGUUUAAUUCGAUGAUACGCGAGGAACCUUACCCGGGCUUAAAUUGCAGUGGAAUGAUGUGGAAACAUGUCAGUGAGCAAUCACCGCUGUGAAGGUGCUGCAUGGUUGUCGUCAGCUCGUGCCGUGAGGUGUCGGCUUAAGUGCCAUAACGAGCGCAACCCUUAUCUUUAGUUACUAACAGGUUAUGCUGAGGACUCUAGAGAGACUGCCGUCGUAAGAUGUGAGGAAGGUGGGGAUGACGUCAAAUCAGCACGGCCCUUACGUCCGGGGCUACACACGUGUUACAAUGGGGGGUACAGAAGGCAGCUAGCGGGUGACCGUAUGCUAAUCCCAAAAGCCUCUCUCAGUUCGGAUCGAAGUCUGCAACCCGACUUCGUGAAGCUGGAUUCGCUAGUAAUCGCGCAUCAGCCACGGCGCGGUGAAUACGUUCCCGGGCCUUGUACACACCGCCCGUCAAGCCAUGGGAGCCGGGGGUACCUGAAGUACGUAACCGCAAGGAUCGUCCUAGGGUAAAACUGGUGACUGGGGCUAA
rnacentral:rRNA from 1 species